rnacentral:rRNA from 1 species
GACGCUGGCGGCAGGCCUNCACAUGCAAGUCGAGCGCGAAAACACUUCGGUGUGAGUAGAGCGGCGGACGGGUGAGUAAUGCUUGGGAAUCUGCCCAGUAGUGGGGGAUAACGUGUGGAAACGCACGCUAAUACCGCAUACGUCCUACGGGAGAAAGCAGGGGAUCUUCGGACCUUGCGCUAUUGGAUGAGCCCAAGUCAGAUUAGCUAGUUGGUGAGGUAAUGGCUCACCAAGGCGACGAUCUGUAGCUGGUCUGAGAGGAUGAUCAGCCACAUUGGGACUGAGACACGGCCCAAACUCCUACGGGAGGCAGCAGUGGGGAAUCUUGCACAAUGGGGGAAACCCUGAUGCAGCGAUGCCGCGUGAGUGAAGAAGGCCUUUGGGUUGUAAAGCUCUUUCGUCGGGGAAGAAAAUGACUGUACCCGAAUAAGAAGGUCCGGCUAACUUCGUGCCAGCAGCCGCGGUAAUACGAAGGGACCUAGCGUAGUUCGGAAUUACUGGG